rnacentral:siRNA from 1 species
UACUUCUGAUCUCUUCGUACU